AAAAUUUUAAAUUCACUCGAAGUAAAAAAUUAAGUUCCCUGACAUAAUGGGUUAUCAAAUGAUAGUAUGCUAAGCAGCAGUCAAACACUGGUGCCCAAACAAAACAAACGGUAAGGUGAAUAUUUUAUAUACAAUACACAAUAAAUUAAGAGUUCUAUACAGAUUCACCUACAAAGCAGGAUGGUACCCGAGAUUCACAUUAGCAUCCACCCUUUCAACUACUCUCCUAAAACUACACUCGUAGCAGAAUUUCAGGGCUAGCCGAAGUGCAGUUCCAAGUCCAAGCACAACAAUAACACCAAAUAUAAUGUUAACAGGCAGGGCAGAAACACCAAGCGUAAUGGAUAUCAGCACAUCCAACAAGAGACCACCAAUAAGAAUUGAGAAUGCUACCCAAAGUGGACUAAAACAACCCUGUUUCAGAGAUGAGGGGACACAUCACAAUGAACAUUAUUUUCCUCAAAAUAAGCAUAAGCAUGAAUACAGUAGAUUAACCACAUUAACGUCCUUACCCUUUCAGGAUCUCGUGUUCUAAAGGAUGGGUCAAUCCUCCAAAACCAGUUGUUUGCCUGCCCCAUGAAACACCAAAAAAAAAAAGAAAAAUUGUACUACAAUUAGCACAUCUAAACCCAUCCACAAACUCACCGACGAACUUGACUUAUUUGGUUUGUCAAAAUUCAAAUUCACGGCAAACGAGUAAUGCUUGUGCAUCAGAAGAAGCCAGCAUGGACAAUGGGCUCAUGGACUGAGACAAUUUCUAUAAACAAAAGCUUUCCCACAAGCUAUAAUUCCCUUUGUUUCCUGUUAUUUCAAAAUAUGCCACUUAGCUUAACAUUCAACACUUCAGUUAUUUUGGAAAACAGAAUUCUACAUUGACAGCGUCAUUAUGAUUUCGCAAGCCAAGUUUUAGGCCAUCUAAGGCAGACUCACAGAGAUGAUAAGAGCCAACAUCACAUCCCAAAACCCUAUACAUUCAUCAAAUUUAGACUAGAUUAAAAUUGUAUACACCAUCCAAAGACAUUUAUCAUACUCUAAGGGACACCCCAACACAGAAUACCUACACUUGGCCGAGAUUCUGGAGGUGACACAUUCACAGCUACCUCUCUGCAUAGAAAAGUUAAAUCCCUUUGAGACAUUCUUCCGAGCUGCACUAACUUCAAAGCACAAAUAGACAUUGUAAAUGACUUACUGGCAUAUCUCACAUUUGUUUGAUCCUCUUGUACGAAACCAAGUAUCCAUACAUGAGCGGUGGGCUUUCGCAAGACCACCUUUACAUUUGCAUCCAAGAUCUAUAAGAACUUCUUCCAUAUCUUGCUGACAAACUCUGAAGAACAACUUACAAAAUAACCUAGGUUAUUGCUUACAUAAUGGUCCAAUUACUCUUUAAUCUUUGUUAUUUUCCUCCUGGUUCUGUUUUGACUUUUAAUCCUAGUAAAAUGCAAUGGCAAUAGACCUCUUUAUCAAAUAUGACAUCAUGCUAGAUAAUGCAGUCUAAUGACAAUAAGAUUUUGGAUUAUUAAUCCACAGACACAAUUUGGGUGGUGCUGUUUGGCUGUCUGAGGAAUGCUGCAUCCAUAUGUUGGUGUUGCAGGUGCGAAAAUGAAGAAUUCCCAAGCAAAAGACUCAGAUGGAUACUACUAGUAGAGUAGCAAUUAGACUGAAAAAAAGAAUGACAAUGAAAAACUAGGUUGCAAAACACAAAAUUUAGAGGCCCAUGAUUCACAAGAUGCAUCAUUUUUCCAUAGUCAGGCAAGCAAGAGUAAGAAAACGGAAUUACAGACGAUAAGUUGCAAUUCACUAAAGGGAAGGAAGACUAUAAGAAGUACGAGUGGUUGAAUGGCAUACCUGCACUGUUCAUUAGAGCUUACAGUCCUCGACAAGUACCCCUUUUUGGAAGAAUCCACACUGGGCAAUUCUUUCUUAGCAGGUUCCGCAAGAACCUCAGCAUUAGAAACUAAAAUGGUAAGAAUUGUGGGAUUGGGCUCAAGGGUAGAAUUCCCUGAUACGGCUAAAUCACUGCCCUGUUGCGGCAACAAUUGGUGGUUGCCCUGCUUUUCAAGGUCGAGCUCAGGUGAGAGCGAAUUAUCACACUGGUCACUACCAGCUGUGGUGCUUUCUUUGUUGAAGCCAUCAUUCUUCAUCUGAUCUUGGAGAGAGCGGAGAUUGGUUUCGGUUUAGAUAGAAGAAAAUCACUUUAUUUCUUACUAAACAGAUAACCAAACAUGGGGUUGGUCAUGGAAAUGGAAAAGGAAACGGUAGAGAGAAAAUCUGCAAAAGGU
rnacentral:misc_RNA from 1 species